UUCUGGUUGAUCCUGCCAGUAGUCAUAUGCUUGUCUCAAAGAUUAAGCCACGCAUGUCUAAGUAUAAGCAAUUUAUACAGUGAAACUGCGAAUGGCUCAUUAAAUCAGUUAUCGUUUAUUUGAUAGUACCUUUACUACUUGGAUAACCGUGGUAAUUCUAGAGCUAAUACAUGCUAAAAAUCCCGACUGUUUGGAAGGGAUGUAUUUAUUAGAUAAAGAAUCAAUGCUUUUCGGAGCUCUUUGAUGAUUCAUAAUAACUUUUCGAAUCGCAUGGCCUUGUGCUGGCGAUGGUUCAUUCAAAUUUCUGCCCUAUCAACUUUCGAUGGUAGGAUAGUGGCCUACCAUGGUUUCAACGGGUAACGGGGAAUAAGGGUUCGAUUCCGGAGAGGGAGCCUGAGAAACGGCUACCACAUCCAAGGAAGGCAGCAGGCGCGCAAAUUACCCAAUCCCGACACGGGGAGGUAGUGACAAUAAAUAGCGAUACAGGGCCCUUUCGGGUCUUGUAAUUGGAAUGAGUACAAUGUAAAUACCUUAACGAGGAACAAUUGGAGGGCAGUCUGGU
rnacentral:rRNA from 1 species